rnacentral:misc_RNA from 1 species
GGUCACGUGGCUAUCGGUAAUCUAUUUCUCUCUUUUCUAUUCGUAUAUUUUUGCAUGUCAAGAUAAAAUUACAGUGAUAUUGGGUAUGUUUCAGUUUUCGCUGAAGAAAGAAUUUUUUUUUCCCAUUGAUGAAAAUUUAUUUCAUAUUCACAGAAGUUAAUUUAGGGAUUUUGUUCUGUUCAGUCUGUACUGCUUAUUAGGUAAAUUUUGCUUCGAGGUUGAUGCGGUAUUUAGUACCUUCUUCUGCCAGAAGUUCUCAAUUCCUAAUUGUGUUGUCUAUAUGAUGCAAGAUAGCUUAGACAAUUUAAAGAUCGUCAUCUACUUAACUGCUGUCUUGUAAUUUGCAAAUUGUAAAGAAAGAGAGAGUGUUGUGCAAGUGGUUAGGGUCUGGCAGAGUUAGAGUUUGAGAACAGAAAUAUGGGGAUUACAAAAUUUUAGGUGCUGAUGUCCUCCAAACAAAGCUAUCGAUGUGAGCUUGUAUUCUAUUAUUUAUUCCAAAAACAGAACAGUGAAUACUAAAACUCGAACCUCUGCUAUGCAAUUAUGUUGAUCGUAAUUCACACAUCAAACAAUACAAGAUCCUGGGUUCAAAUUCAUCCGUACACCAAAUACUAGUGAAAGUUUAUUAAUUAUUGUUAUUUUUUGGGGGGUUUCAAUUAUCCUAGGAUAAAUAAAUUUCUGUUGAAAUCCAAAAUAAUGGUUUCUUGCUAGCUCAUUUUGGAUAACUAUAUGUUUUGGAAAUCAUUUUCCUCCUAAAAAGUGGUCCAGUGGUGUUUAAUUUGGUGCAUUACACUAUGAGAGAAAUCCAAUGAUGAAAAUACUAUCUUCCUAAUCCUUUCCUUUGAUUUUGAAGCAAGUGUAUUAUGAGGUUGAUUUG